GAUGAACGCUGGCGGCGUGCCUAAUACAUGCAAGUCGAGCGAACAGACGAGGAGCUUGCUCCUCUGACGUUAGCGGCGGACGGGUGAGUAACACGUGGAUAACCUACCUAUAAGACUGGGAUAACUUCGGGAAACCGGAGCUAAUACCGGAUAAUAUAUUGAACCGCAUGGUUCAAUAGUGAAAGACGGUUUUGCCGUCACUUAUAGAUGGAUCCGCGCCGCAUUAGCUAGUUGGUAAGGUAACAGCUUACCAAGGCAACGAUGCGUAGCCGACCUGAGAGGGUGAUCGGCCACACUGGAACUGAGACACGGUCCAGACUCCUACGGGAGGCAGCAGUAGGGAAUCUUCCGCAAUGGGCGAAAGCCUGACGGAGCAACGCCGCGUGAGUGAUGAAGGUCUUCGGAUCGUAAAACUCUGUUAUUAGGGAAGAACAAAUGUGUAAGUACCUAUGCACGUCUUGACGGUACCUAAUCAGAAAGCCACGGCUAACUACGUG
rnacentral:rRNA from 1 species